CAGUAGCCACGGGAAUACGAAGGGUGCAAGCGUUAAUCGGAAUUACUGGGCGUAAAGCGUGCGUAGGCGGUGAGUUAAGUCUGCUGUGAAAUCCCCGGGCUCAACCUGGGAAUGGCAGUGGAUACUGGCUCGCUAGAGUGUGUCAGAGGAUGGUGGAAUUCCCGGUGUAGCGGUGGAAUGCGUAGAGAUCGGGAGGAACAUCAGUGGCGAAGGCGGCCAUCUGGGACAACACUGACGCUGAGGCACGAAAGCGUGGGGAGCAAACAGGAUUAGAUACCCGCGUAGUCCCUGUCUCUUAUAA
rnacentral:rRNA from 1 species